CCUGGUUGAUCCUGUCAGUAGCAUAUGCUUGUCUCAAAGAUUAAGCCAUGCACGUGUAAGUACACACGGCCGGUACAGUGAAACUGCAAAUGGCUCAUUAAAUCAGUUAUGGUUCCUUUGAUCGCUCCAUCUUUUACUUGAUAACUGUGGUAAUUCUAGAGCUAAUGCAUGCCGACAAGCACUGACAACCUGGGAUGCAUGCAUCUAUCGGACCAAGACCAAUCCGGGCGCGCCCGGCCCCUUUGGUGACUCUAGAUAACCUCAGACCGAUCGCACAUCCCCGUAACUGAGACGAUGCAUUCGGAUGUCUGCCCUAUCAACUUUCAAUGGUACUUUCUGUGCCUACCAUGGUGACCAUGGGUAACUGAGAAUCGGGGUUCGAUUCCGGAAAGGCAGCCUGAGAAACGUCUACCACAUCCAAGGAAGGCAGCAGGUGUGCAAAUUGCCCACUCCUGACUCUGGGAGGUAGUGAUGAAAAAUAACAAUACAGGACUCUUUCGAUGCCCUCUAAUUGGAAUGAGUACACUUUAAAUCCUUUAACGAGGCACCGUUUGAGGGCACCUCUGGUGCCAGCAUCCACAGUAAUUCCAGCUCCAAUACUGUAUAUUAAAGUUGCUGCAGUUAAAAAGCUUGUAGUUGGAUCUUGGGAUCGAGCUGGCGGUCCUCUGUGAGGCGAGCUACCACUUGUCACAGCCUCUCGACGCCCUGCGGAUCUGAACCGUUUACGUUAAAAAAAAGUAGUGUGUUCAAAGCAGGCCGGUCGCCUGAAUACUUCUGCGAAGAAUAAUGGCAUAGGACUCCGGUUCUGUUGUUUGGUUUUCGGAACUGGUGCCAUGAUUAAGAGGGACGCUCGGGCAUACGUAUUGUGCUGCUAGAGGUGAAAAUCUUGGACCGGCGCAAGAUGAACCAAAGCGAAAGCAUUUCGCAAGAAUGUUUUCAUUAAACAAGAAUGAAAGCCAUAGGUUCGAAGACUAUCAGAGACCGUUGUAGUUCCAACCAUAAACUAUGCCGACUAGCGAUCCGGCAGUGUUAUUCCCAUGACCCGCUGAGCAGAUUGAGGUAACCAAAGUCUUUUGGUUCCGGCGGGCGUAUGAUUGCAAAGCUGAAAUGUAAAGGAAUUGGCGGAAGGGCACCACCAGGAGUGAAGCUGCGGCUUAAUUUGACUCAACACAGGAAACCCGGACCAGACACGGAAAGGAUUGACAGAUUGAUAGCUCUUUCUCGAUUCUGUGGGUGGUGGUGCUGCAUGGCCGUUCUUAUUUGGGGAGUGAUUUUUGUCUGGUUAAUUCCGAUAACGAACAAGACUCCUCCAUGCUAACUCGUUACAUGAACCCCCCCCAGCGUUGGCGUUCAACUUCUUAGAGGGACAAGUGGCGUUCAGCCACAUGAGAUCGAGCAAUAACAGGUCUGUGAUGCCAUUAGAUGUCUGUGGCUGCAUGCGCGCUACACUGAAUUGGAUUGUGUGUCUGUGUGUGUCUACCCUUCGACGACAGGUGUGGGUAAUCCACUGAACCCCAUUCCUGAAGGAUUAGGGAUUGCAAUUAUUUCCCAUGAACAUGGAAUUCACAGUAAGUGUGGGUCAUAAGCUUGUGGUGUUUAAGUCCCUGCCCUUUGUACACACCGCCCGUCGCUACUACCGAUUGGAUGUUUUAGUGAGGUCCUUGCAUUGACCCCGCCAGGGUCGGCAACGGUUAGCAACUAGGCCGAAACACAUGUCUGGGGUUGCUGUUGGUACUUUUGUUCAAAGGAGAAUCGCCUACCCAUUUUGGUGCUGG
rnacentral:rRNA from 1 species